rnacentral:ncRNA from 1 species
ACAAAUCCUAAGAAAAAGCAAAGUAAAUAUAUAAGAAAACAUUUACAGAGAAAAUAGCAAAGCUGAGAGCUAUUAAUGAAUAUAUAUUGAAAUUUCACUUUUGAGGACUUCUUUUAAAAGCGAAAGCAAGUAGAAAGAAGCGGUUGAACCGUUAAAACUAUAAAGAGGUUAAUUAAGUGCACUAAGAGCACAAUUAAUAAAUUUAGGUGGUACCACGAAAGAGCCAUUCGUCCUAAAA